CGUGAGGGAAAGAUGAAAAGAACUUUGAAAAGAGAGUUAAAAAGUACCUGAAAUCGUUGAAAGGGAAGGGUUUGCAACUAGUGUGUUUUGGUCGUGUGUGUGUUUGUCUGUUUUGUGAGAGCAAGGCAGGUUUGCAGACGGACGACGUGUGUAUCUACAUGGGUUUGCUACGUCUGUGAGAGAGUUUGAGUGUGGUCUUCGGAGGCACUGAUUCGAUCAAAGAGACUGCAGACCGAGGAAGCAUUGCGAGUUGGUCCCCUUCGGGGGAGUGGUCGCAAAAGGAUGUAGAUGAAAUGGUUGUAAACCGCCCGUCUAGGAACACGGACCAAGGAGUCUGGCUCGCGCGCGA
rnacentral:rRNA from 1 species